rnacentral:lncRNA from 1 species
CAGAUGUUCAAGUCCCUAAAACGGGGCCCCCGGGCUGUGCUCAUCAGUGCUUUGGGUGGCCUCGGACUCCCCAGGCUCAGCGGCCAUGCCAGGGGCACCAGCUGGAUUGUCCAGCCCGGUGGCUCGCACAUCCCAGGGGCACAGUUAGGGGUUGGGGGCCAAGGCUGUUGAAAGCGAGCACCAGUCCACGGGGGUGUGGCCUCAGAAACACGGGCUGCAGCCCGGAGAAGGGCUGGCCGGGCAGGGGACAGGGUCCAUGGGGGGCAGGGGCUGGGGAGCCAGCUGCCCCAGGCAGGCCCUAUUCCCAGGCCGCAGCUGCCGGCUAGACCCUAGGCCCAGUGGGGUGCAGCUUGUCGGGUGCUGCUGAGGGCUGUGGGUGGUGCCCAGCUGCGUGCCCAUUGGCCCCAUGCCCAGGGUGCUUAGCCCAUGCCAUGGUCCUGCUGGCUCAGGUGACCCAGGGCUCCCAGCUUUUCUCAUCUGACGCUCAGGCACCAGGUGGGGAAGGCCCUGGCCUGCCACACCUGCCCUGGGAGCGAAGUGCUAGGCUUCCACUUUUUUUCUUUCGCUGUGAACACGAAUGGCUUCAAGCGACUAGAAAAGAGUUAUUUUAAAGCACGGUUAGACGUCCCCGUCGGCUAAGAUGGAGCAACUGGGACCAGAGGUACCACCUGCUUGAGCAGAAGCAGCAGAAACAAGAGGACACAAGGUGUCGAAGCCACUGGACACGCGGCAGCUGAGAACAGUGCCUCGGAGACCCGGGACACCAGGGAACUCGGCCCGGGACGGGGCGGAGCAGAAGAGGCCUCCUGCUCCAUGGUCUCGGUUGGUGCCAUGUCGCCGGGGGUGUGUGAGAUGGACCAAGCUGUGUGUCAUAACCCCCAAGGCAGCAGGUCACGAAUCACAUGAAAUAUAAAUGGUCUAAAUGCUCCAACUGAAAACCAAAGGUUGUCAGAUUGGAAAAACACCAAGACCCAAUGAUGUGAUUCCCCCAAGAAAUCCACUUUAAAUACAAAGACUUAAGAACAGGUUUUAAAAAACACAAAACUGGAAAAAGUUAAAGCAGGCUACCCCUGAUCACAGAGAGCUGGCGUGACCACACUAACAUCCAAGCAGAAGCACCUCAGGCCUCGGCGGCGAGACAGGCGCGUGGGCUGGGGCACAGCCACCAGGCUGCGGGAGGAGCGGAGGCUUACACACCCCCACGUGUGGUGAAUCUCACCUACACCAGUGAAAUGAGCCAGACCCCCCAAGAAAAGAAAAAAAAAGGAAAGCUACAUUGUUAC